UGGGGAAUAUUGCACAAUGGGCGAAAGCCUGAUGCAGCAACGCCGCGUGAGUGAUGAAGGUCUUCGGAUUGUAAAGCUCUGUCUUUUGGGACGAUAAUGACGGUACCAAAGGAGGAAGCCACGGCUAACUACGUGCCAGCAGCCGCGGUAAUACGUAGGUGGCGAGCGUUGUCCGGAUUUACUGGGCGUAAAGGGUGCGUAGGCGGAUGUUUAAGUGAGAUGUGAAAUACCCGGGCUUAACUUGGGUGCUGCAUUUCAAACUGGAUAUCUAGAGUGCAGGAGAGGAGAAUGGAAUUCCUAGUGUAGCGGUGAAAUGCGUAGAGAUUAGGAAGAACACCAGCGGCGAAGGCGAUUCUCUGGACUGUAACUGACGCUGAGGCACGAAAGCGUGGGUAGCAAACAGGAUUAGAUACCCUGGUAGU
rnacentral:rRNA from 1 species